rnacentral:rRNA from 1 species
CCUACGGGUGGCAGCAGUGAGGAAUAUUGGUCAAUGGACGAGAGUCUGAACCAGCCAAGUAGCGUGAAGGAUGACUGCCCUAUGGGUUGUAAACUUCUUUUAUAUGGGAAUAAAAUGUUCCACGUGUGGGAUUUUGUAUGUACCCUAUGAAUAAGGAUCGGCUAACUCCGUGCCAGCAGCCGCGGUAAUACGGAGGAUCCGAGCGUUAUCCGGAUUUAUUGGGUUUAAAGGGAGCGUAGGUGGAUUGUUAAGUCAGUUGUGAAAGUUUGCGGCUCAACCGUAAAAUUGCAGUUGAAACUGGCAGUCUUGAGUACAGUAGAGGUGGGCGGAAUGCGUGGUGUAGCGGUGAAAUGCUUAGAUAUCACGAAGAACUCCGAUUGCGAAGGCAGUUCACUGGACUGCAACUGACACUGAGGCUCGAAAGUGUGGGUAUCAAACAGGAUUAGAUACCCUAGUAGUC